CUCAGGAUGAACGCUGGCGGCGUGCUUAACACAUGCAAGUCGAACGAAGCACUUUAUUUGAUUUCCUUCGGGACUGAUUAUUUUGUGACUGAGUGGCGGACGGGUGAGUAACGCGUGGGUAACCUGCCUUGUACAGGGGGAUAACAGUUGGAAACGGCUGCUAAUACCGCAUAAGCGCACGGCAUCGCAUGAUGCAGUGUGAAAAACUCCGGUGGUAUAAGAUGGACCCGCGUUGGAUUAGCUAGUUGGUGAGGUAACGGCCCACCAAGGCGACGAUCCAUAGCCGACCUGAGAGGGUGACCGGCCACAUUGGGACUGAGACACGGCCCAAACUCCUACGGGAGGCAGCAGUGGGGAAUAUUGCACAAUGGGCGAAAGCCUGAUGCAGCGACGCCGCGUGAGCGAAGAAGUAUUUCGGUAUGUAAAGCUCUAUCAGCAGGGAAGAUAAUGACGGUACCUGACUAAGAAGCACCGGCUAAAUACGUGCCAGCAGCCGCGGUAAUACGUAUGGUGCAAGCGUUAUCCGGAUUUACUGGGUGUAAAGGGAGCGCAGGCGGUGCGGCAAGUCUGAUGUGAAAGCCCGGGGCUCAACCCCGGUACUGCAUUGGAAACUGUCGUACUAGAGUGUCGGAGGGGUAAGCGGAAUUCCUAGUGUAGCGGUGAAAUGCGUAGAUAUUAGGAGGAACACCAGUGGCGAAGGCGGCUUACUGGACGAUAACUGACGCUGAGGCUCGAAAGCGUGGGGAGCAAACAGGAUUAGAUACCCUGGUAGUCCACGCUGUAAACG
rnacentral:rRNA from 1 species